rnacentral:tRNA from 7 species
GCCUGCUUGGCUCAGGGGCAGAGCGUCUGUCUCGUAAACAGAAGGUCGCAAGUUCAAUUCUUGCAGUAGGCA